UCUUGGAAGUAAAUUAACGUAAGUUUACCAGAGUACUAUGAAUUUCCAAAUAUUUAAAACUCAAAGGGCUUGGCGGUGUUUUAGACCUCUCAGGGGAACCUGUCUCAUAAUCGACAAUCCACGUUAAACCUAACCUUUCUUUGCAAUCUCAGUUUGUAUACCGUCGUCGUCAGGUAACUUUUAAAAAAUAAGAAGUUAACAAUAAAAUAUAAUUAAAUUUUAACGUCAGAUCAAGGUGCAGCUUACAUAAAGGUGAGGAUGGGUUACAAUUACAAGUUAUAAUUACGAAAAGGUGAUUGAAAUAUUUAUCUUAUGAAGGAGGACUUGAAAGUAAAAUAAAUUUAUAUAUACAAUUUGAAUAAGGCUCUGAAACAUGC
rnacentral:rRNA from 1 species